rnacentral:lncRNA from 1 species
UUAAAUAGCCCUUGGUAGCACUCAUGUAUAUGGCUUCUGUUCUCGGGUUCCAUCCUAUAGUUCACUCGACCCGACCUACUUUGAGAGCUUUCAAGUGGGAGACCCAUGCUUCAAACCCUUUUGGCAUGUUGUAAUCCUUUACCCUUUCCUCGUAGCUGGUGAUUAAGUUAUCCGGGCUCGAACCAUAACUCAUAAAUCUGGGGUGAUGCGAAGAUGCUCGAUCAACCAUAUUUGUAGAAGGAUAUUUCAACCUUUAAAGAAUUGAGCCCCAUCUAUACAAAAUGCCAAUGCUCGAUAUAAUAUACCAGCACCAAUAGGACAAGUGUGUGAUCUUCUUUUGUAGUCAGGACUUGUGCGAUUCUAACCAUACGAGUAUCCACUGUCCCUUCCUUAUUUGGGAAAACCAUGAUUCCAAUAAUGCCACAAUAAAUGCAAACCGGCGAUGAAUUUUCCAUUGGACCUUAUCUUGUUUAUUGCUCAGACCCUUUUCAUGCGUUUCGAACCUAGCUAAUGCCCGAACCUGAAGUACAAGAAAUGGAAAGAAUAACAUCCUUUGCUUAGUGGACUUUCUUAAUCUGUUUAAUGUUAGUUAAGAGGUCAAAGAACUUGUGAACUAACGGAGCCCUUGGAAAUGUAUGCUGCUGCUUCCUCAAAUCCCUGCCAAACUCAAUGUAACUGGCCAUCUCCUCCAAGGUACGGGUGAUCAAAAUUCGGGAAACGAAAAACAUUGUGGACGGGGUCUCAGAAUGUUACCAAAGCCCUGAUUAUAUCUUCCCGUGGUGUAAUCUCAAAAAUGUCUAUGAGAGCACCUAGCUGUUAUUUUACCCAUUUCUGACCGUCUUCGUC